UAUGACGCGCUGAAAGCCUGUCACGGAUGACGCUGGAACACCAGUGCACUAAAGUAAUAUGCACUACCAUACAGAACACAACUUCCCCCCUGACAGCCCUUAGGUUAGGGUUAAUACCCCUCGAGAGUAACUCAAAUGGACCAAAGAUAAGGCCUCCUGACAAGAUACUCUCACGACUAACCGCCUGACACCACAGACCACUUGGUAACAACACAGAUAGACUUAGCACUCUGAAUUCAAAAAAAUGGUUUAAGCCUUAUGCAUAAUAAGUCUGGAAUACACAGUUCACAACCUGGACAGGGUGGCUUAUGUGAUUUGGAGAGGUCAGCUAGCUCGCAACUUUCCUGUCCCAUCACUACCCAUAUGCAAACAAAAUUGUACUCAUGGGAUUGCUCGGAGUGGAAUAGGUGAUUGGCUGACUAUUUUCCAAAUUGAGGCCGCCAAAUUCGGUUAGAAUGUCUUAGGUAUCGAUCUCCAUGCAGGUGUCCACCUGGACGGUCAAUCUGAACUGACAGCAUUAGCCAACUUAGCUCCAGAUGCAUAGUUUAAUUCAAGUAUGUGAGAUACACUGGACACGUACACCUAAGAUAAAAGGCGACUGGGCAGUGUGCAUUUUAAAGCAAAGCCUGUCUGAAGUUUAGACAGGCACUAUCCUAUCGAUCAGCCAGGGCCGAUAACACUCAGACGUAAGUUUAUACAUAACAGGAAUCUCGCAUGGUGGCCAUUACGCACACUAGCCCUUGCCCCCUAACCUGAAGGUCUCCUUCUGAACAUAAUCUCUCACACGCCCGUUGGUACAGUACUAGACUAUUAACCACCCUGCUCA